rnacentral:lncRNA from 1 species
ACAUACACAAUAGACUCUCAGGAUAUUAUUUUUUUCACUAACCUCACGCCAUAAACACAUACCAAUAGAGAGACCAUUCUCAAUUCCAUUUGAAAAGAGACCAUCUAUCAAUACCCACUACAAUUUAUUCACAGACCCACACGUCCACUCUCAAUGAACAAAUGCAAAACACACAACACACAGUAGAAUGAAGAAAUGGGAGACGGGAGAGAGAUCGGAAAAGGAAAUCGCGAGUUAGAAAGAAACGGAGAGAGAUCAAUUGAGAGAGGUAGAGAGAAAGCAGAGAUCUGAGAGAGAAGGAGAGAAUCGGAAAAGGGGUACUGCUCCGGCAAGUUUCGCCUGAGAGAAGUCAAAAUCCAAUCUGUUCUCGUCGGUUCUCGCCGUGUUUGAGCCCGCCGGAGCUCCGGCGAUGCAAAACAGCGACCCCCAGCCCUCAAAAUCCCCCAAAAUCUUUUCUUUUUUCUUGGUUUUAGACGAGAUUCCGUCGAAGAACGUUAAGGUUGCCGGAUUCUAACUUGUUUCAUCGAUUCUAGUUACCAGCCGAGAUCGCCAGAGCUACAAGCACACGGGUUCUUCAGUUUUUCUUGUGAUUUGUGAUUCUCGAGUUAGUUUAUUCAUGCCCGUGGAUUGCUGUUCGGAUUGCAUUUCGUGAAUAUUCUGCGUUUUGGGUUUAGUAGAUAGUCGAGUUGGUAGUUUUGUUUGAGGUUCAACCCGAGGCUUCGGACACGGAUUCUGGCUUGUUUAACUGAGUAAUACAUUGAAGGUCAUUAAGGUCCAUUUCUCAUCCCUUCUUAAUUGAGCUUAAUUAUCGAUAUUUGGUGUGGUAAAUUCAUGGCACGUGAAUAUUGUUUCAUGUGAUUUGAUUAUGUUUGGAUUAUGGAUUGAUUUCAUUUGAAUAGAGUAAUUGAAGGAUUUGAAUUCGUUUGGGAUAGAUUUUAACUUGGGGAAGACGGGAAUUGAAAGGUGAUAAAGUGAAUAUUGUAGUGUUUUGAUUCAUCGAUUGUUAUUGAAUUUGAAAUGAAUGUUAAUGUUAUCGGACUCGGUAGUAUCAUGAUAAAGCUGUCAAAAGCGUAGGCAAAUAGUAGGCUUAGGUAGGCAAAUUUAGAACUUAUGGAGUGUUUGAGUGCUCGAAAUGUUUGUGGAAUGGUUUAUUUUUCGCAUAUGAAAAAUGUAUUCAUUUAGCCGGGGAAUGCCCCGGGACACAUUGUAUUUAUUCACCGGGGGAUGCCCCGACGUAUUAUGUUGGCGGAAAACAUUUGUGAUGAAGGCCCGAGGCAUUGGGUAAGCAUUGGAGCAUAGUUUAGGAUUAGUCUAGAAUAAGAUUUAUAUUUUCGUAUUUUCUUAUCUUUGGGACUGUAUAAUUCAGACUGGACACUAUAUUUUUGGAUUGUUGUUUGAUGUGUUUGUUGCUUGUUUUAUGUAUUUGUGUGGUUUAUACAUUCAUAAUGUCAAAUUAGACGAUAUACUCUACCAAGCGACCGUGGUCAAACCACGGGAUCGAGGGGUGCCUAACACCUUCCCCUCGGUCAACAGAAUUUCUUAGCCGGAAUCUCUGUUCACGGAUUAGUUUUUAGAGUCAAACCAUUUUGAAAAGGAUAUUCCAAAGGUGACUUGGCACACCGGAUUAUACCAAGUGGCGACUCUGAAUAAGAAAAAAUAAUGUAAAUAAUCCUUUUUUUUCGAAAUAAAUUUUUUCAUUUUUGUCACCUUAAUAAUAAAACCCUUUCGAACUUAAAAUCCAAUCUUUUGGAGUAUGAAAAAGGGGUGUGACAGUUCUGGCGACUCUGCUGGGGAACUAUUUCAGAAUCCGAUCUUUUUUUUGGAGUCGUAUCGGCUUUGUUUGGCAUUACGAGUGUAUAAGCAUUGUUUGUGAUUUUUGUUUAUGUUUUCACUUUUGUGCGUUUUCAUUCUCUUUGUUUAUAGUAUUUAUCCUAUGUGUUUACCACUUUUAUAUCUAACAUCAUGUGCAUAACCCGAGUCAUUCUUUCCGCAACAAGUCUCGGAGCGCACGUCGUGCGCACGAACUCUAGUUGAGUCACCUUUAUUUUAGGGUGGGAGCUGUUGGAUGUAUGGAGUAGGUGGAAAGCAAAGCAGCCACAAUCAACCAUAUGCUCCCCCGAACGGCCUUGUUAGUAAACCACAAUGUAGGUCAGCCUUUAGGUCAUUCUUAUAUACAUCAUAUUGAGACCUAGAGGGACCCACACGGCCCUUUGUAGGAAACUCACCUCUAAAGCAUCUCUACGUGCUAAAUGUUGCAUCUCUGAGAGUAAUGUGGUCAUUUGACGGACCGAUUUGGGGAAAGCAAGUGUUAGAAGUAAAGUGUGUAGACAAGAAAGUGUUGAAAAAAAAAAAGGAAAGAAAAAGGUGAAUGAAAAAGAGUUUCGUAGUUUUUAGGUUCUUUAUGGCUUUUGUUUUCCACAAUUCCACAAUUCAAAAAAAGAUUUUUUUUACUUUUUGCACUCAUUUUUCAAAAAAAAAAAAAGCAUCAAAAAGAUUUUCCUUUUGUUUCCUUUAACAAGCAUUCACAAUUCGAAAACUCCAAAAAGAUUUUUUAGGAGCUUUUUAUAAAAAAUAAAAAUGCAAAAAAGAAAAAGGUGGUAGAAGUUUUAUACAUUUCAUAUAACAAAAAUACCAAAAAAAAAUAAAUUCUUUCAUAGUUGUUGGUGUCAUUUUUUAUGUGAAGUGCCAAAUUGAAAACUCAAAAAAAAAAAAGAUUUUGUUAUGUUGUUCAUCGUAUGUCUUUGGUCGUGUCUCAAGUCAGGGUGCAAUCUGUUAUUUAAUCAUUAAUUGUCCAAUCUGGACGAACUACACACCCCUGAUUCUCCUCUUUCGGGAUGUGAGAUAUGUAGGCAACCUAUUGUUGGUUCGGGGACCUUAUUUGAAAAUUCAAAAAAAAUAAAAAAUUCUUCACUCUUUAUUAGAGUAGAUGUCAUAUAUUUCUUUAAAAGAAAACUGUAAAAAGAUUUUUCUUUAAUAGAUUCAAUUUUCAUUUUUAUAUGAAAUUCGAAAUUGAAAACCCAAAAAGAUUUUCUUUGGUAGUCAUAGGUUUUAUUUUGUAUAGGAACAAAAAAAAAAUUCAAAAAAAAGAAUUUCUUCACUCUUUAUUUAGAGUAGGUGUUUCAUAUACAUCUUCAAGAGAAAACUACAAAAAGAUUUUCCUUUAAUAGUUUCAAGUUUUAUUUUCAUAUGAAAUUCAAAAUUGAAAAACCCAAAAGGAUUUUUCUUUGGUAAUCAUAAGUUUCGUUUUGUAUAGGUAUUUUAAAAGUGAAAAAUGCAAAAAGAUUUUCGUCAAUUCUUUUGAAAAAAUGUUAUUUUCUUUUCUUCUCAAAGUUUCAAGGAAAAGAAUGAAAAAAGAGUUUAAUUGGCCAUUUUGGCAAGACUUCACGAACUAUGCACACCUGAUUCUCCUCUCUCGGGGGUGAGAUACGUAGGCGCCCUUCUUGGGUUCGGUGACCUUUUAAAAAAAAAAAAGGUUUUGAAAAAUUGUUGAACUCUAACGCAUUUGCUCUCUCUUGUCCAGUUAGUUUAAGGUGGUUGGUUUGUGGCAUUUUGGCU